rnacentral:rRNA from 2 species
CAACCGGGAUUGCCUCAGUAACGGCGAGUGAAGCGGCAAGAGCUCAAAUUUGAAAGCUGGCCCCCUGCGGGGUCCGCAUUGUAAUUUGCAGAGGAUGCUUCGGAUCCGGCCCCUGUCUAAGUGCUCUGGAACGGGCCGUCGGAGAGGGUGAGAAUCCCGUCUGGGACGGGGAGUCCGGGUCCAUGUGAAGCUCCUUCAACGAGUCGAGUUGUUUGGGAAUGCAGCUCUAAAUGGGUGGUAAAUUUCAUCUAAAGCUAAAUACUGGCCGGAGACCGAUAGCGCACAAGUAGAGUGAUCGAAAGAUGAAAAGCACUUUGAAAAGAGAGUUAAAAAGCACGUGAAAUUGUUGAAAGGGAAGCGCUUGCGAUCAGACUCGCCCGCGGGGUUCAGCCGGCAUUCGUGCCGGUGUACUUCCCCGUGGGCGGGCCAGCGUCGGUUCGGGCGGCCGGUCAAAGGCCCUGGGAAUGUAGCGCCCUCCGGGGCGUCUUAUAGCCCAGGGUGCCAUGCGGCCUGCCCGGACCGAGGAACGCGCUUCGGCUCGGACGCUGGCGUAAUGGUCGUAAGCGACCCGUCUUGAAACACGGACCAAGGAGUCUAACAUCUACGCGAGUGUUUGGGUGGCAAACCCAUACGCGCAGUGAAAGCGAACGGAGGUGGGAGCCUUUCGGGGCGCACCAUCGACCGAUCCUGAUGUCUUCGGAUGGAUUUGAGUAAGAGCGUAGCUGUGGGGACCCGAAAGAUGGUGAACUAUGCCUGAAUAGGGCGAAGCCAGAGGAAACUCUGGUGGAGGCUCGCAGCGGUUCUGACGUGCAAAUCGAUCGUCAAAUUUGGGUAUAGGGGCGAAAGACUAAU